rfam:Pseudoruegeria aquimaris strain CECT 7680 genome assembly, contig: 0020
GUGAAACACCCGAUCCCAUCCCGAACUCGGAAGUUAAGCACAGCCGCGCCGAUGGUACUGCGUCUCAAGACGUGGGAGAGUAGGUCACCGCCAAAC